rnacentral:rRNA from 1 species
GACGAACGCUGGCGGCGUGCUUAACACAUGCAAGUCGAACGGAAAGGCCUGUCCUUCCUUGUGUUGGACGGGUGCUCGAGUGGCGAACGGGUGAGUAACACGUGAGUGAUCUGCCCCCAACUUGGGUAUAAGCCUGGGAAACUGGGUCUAAUUCCCGAUAGGACUGCAGGGUGGUGCCUGUGGUGGAAAACGAUUUUCUAGUGGUUGGGGAUGAGCUCGCGGCCUAUCAGCUUGAUGGUGGGGUAAUGGCCUACCAAGGCGGCGACGGGUAGCCGGCCUGAGAGGGUGGACGGCCCCAUUGGGACUGAGAUACGGCCCAGACUCCUACGGGAGGCAGCAGUGGGGAAUAUUGCACAAUGGGCGGAAGCCUGAUGCAGCGACGCCGCGUGGGGGAUGACGGCCUUCGGGUUGUAAACUCCUUUCGACCGCGAGGAAGCCGCCUGGUUGGAAGGGUGGUGACGGUAGUGGUAGAAGAAGCACCGGCUAACUACGUG